CCUACGGGAGGCAGCAGUGGGGAAUCUUGGACAAUGGGGGGAACCCUGAUCCAGCGACGCCGCGUGAGUGAAGAAGUAUUUCGGUAUGUAAAGCUCUAUCAGCAGGGAAGAAAGAAAUGACGGUUCCUGACUCAGAAGCCGCGGCUAACUACGUGCCAGCAGCCGCCGUACUACGUAGGGGGCAAGCGUUAUCCGGAUUUACGGGGUGUAAAGGGAGCGUAGACGGUUACGCAAGUCUGGGGUGAAAGGCGGGGGCCCAACCCCCGGACUGCUUUGGAAACUGUAUAACUGGAGUGCAGGAGAGGUAAGUGGAAUUCCUAGUGUAGCGGUGAAAUGCGUAGAUAUUAGGAGGAACACCAGUGGCGAAGGCGGCUUACUGGACUGUAACUGACGUCGAGGCUCGAAAGCGUGGGGAGCAAACAGGAUUAGAUACCCUUGUAGUC
rnacentral:rRNA from 1 species